rnacentral:lncRNA from 1 species
AGGUCAGGUUAUAAUCUGUAGCUAGAUCUAUUGUCUAAUAUUAUGACAGGUCAGGACAUAAUCUGUAGCUAGAUCUAUUGUCUAAUACUAUGACAGGUCAGGACAUAAUCUGCAGUUAGAUCUAUAGCCUCUAAUAUUAUGACAGGUCAGGUCAUAAUCUGUAGCUAGAUCUAUUGUCCAAUAUUAUGACAGGUCAGGACAUAAUCUGUACCUAGAUCUAUAGUCUAAUAUUAUGACAGGUCAGGUCAUAAUCUGUAGCUAGAUCUAUUGUCUCUCUAAUAUUAUGACAGGUCAGGACAUAAUCUGUAGCUAGAUCUAUAGUUUAAUAUUAUGACAGGUCAGGUCAUAAUCUGUAGCUAGAUCUAUAGUCUCUAAUAUUAUGACAGGUCAGGUUAUAAUCUGUAGCUAGAUCUAUUGUCUAAUAUUAUGACAUAAUCUGUAGCUAGAUCUAUUGUCUCUAAUACUAUGACAGGUCAGGACAUAAUCUGUAGUUAGAUCUAUUGUCUAAUAUCAUGACAGGUCAUGUCAUAAUCUGUAGCUAGAUCUAUAGUCUAAUAAUAUGACAGGUCAGGACAUAAUUUGUAGCUAGAUCUAUUGUCUAAUAUUAUGACAGGUUAGGACAUAAUCUGUAGCUAGAUCUAUUGUCUAAUAUUAUGACAUGUCAGGACAUAAUUUGUAGCUAGAUCUAUAGUCUAAUAUUAUGACAGGUCAGGAUAUAAUCUGUAGCUAGAUCUAUUGUCUCUCUAAUAUUAUGACAGGUCAGGACAUAAUCUGUAGCUAGAUCUAUUGUCUAAUAUUAUGACAGGUUAGGACAUAAUCUGUAGCUACAUCUAUUGUCUAAUGUUAUGACAGGUCAGGACAUAAUCUGUAGCUAGAUCUAUAGUGUACUAUUGUGACAGGUCAGGUCAUAAUCUGUAGCUAGAUCUAUAGUCUAAUACUAUGACAGGUCAGGACAUAAUCUGUAGCUAGAUCUAUUGUCUAAUAUUAUGACAG